AAGUAGUUGGAUUCCAACCUAGAAUGAACACUAUGACACUCAAGAAAUUUGUCACCAAAUGCAUGAUAAAGAAAAGUAUCACCUAACAUGGCACUAGGCUGUACAUUCCAACACCAUAGCUAUCAACACAGUCCUUGUUCAUUUGUUUAAAAAAGCACAUACUUUCAUGCCUCCUACAACACAAUUUGUUGACUUAUUGUACUACAUGUAAU
rnacentral:lncRNA from 1 species